UACGUAGGGUGCGAGCGUUAAUCGGAAUUACUGGGCGUAAAGCGUGCGUCGGCGGUUCGGUCCGUUCGUUGUGAAAGCCCCGGGCUCAACCUGGGAAUGGCAAUGGAAACUGGCGGGCUGGAGUAUGGCAGAGGGGGGUGGAAUUCCGCGUGUAGCAGUGAAAUGCGUAGAGAUGCGGAGGAACACCGAUGGCGAAGGCAGCCCCCUGGGCCAAUACUGACGCUCAGGCACGAAAGCGUGGGGAGCAAACAGG
rnacentral:rRNA from 1 species